CGCCCUGGGUUAGUCGGGACCUAAGCUGAGGCCGAAAGGCGUAGGUGAUGGACAACAGGUUGAUAUUCCUGUACUACCGAUAACCGUUUGAGAGAUGGGAUGACACAGUAGGAUAAGCUAAGCACACUGUUGGUUAUGUGUGCCCAAGCAUUGAGGCAGUCAAAGUAGGCAAAUCCGCUUUGAUAAUGCUGGGAUGUGAUGGGGAGCGAAAUUUAGUAGCGAAGUAGCUGAUUUCACACUGUCAAGAAAAGUCUCUAUCGAGGUUAAAGGUACCCGUACCGCAAACCGACACAGGUGGGUGAGGAGAGUAUCCUAAGGCCAGCGAGAGAACUGUUGUUAAGGAACUCGGCAAAAUGACCCCGUAACUUAGGGAUAAGGGGUGCCACCAUCAGGUGGCCGCAGAGAAUAGGCCCAAGCGACUGUUUACCAAAAACAUAGGUUUCUGCUAAGUCGCAAGACGAUGUAUAGGAGCUGACGCCUGCCCGGUGCUGGAAGGUUAAGGGGAUCUGUUAGAGCAAUCGAAGCAGUGAACUUAAGCCCCAGUAAACGGCGGCCGUAACUAUAACGGUCCUAAGGUAGCGAAAUUCCUUGUCGGGUAAGUUCCGACCCGCACGAAAGGCGUAACGAUUUGGGCACUGUCUCAACAACAGACUCGGUGAAAUUGUAAUUCCGGUGAAGAUGCCGGAUACCUGCGACAGGACGGAAAGACCCCAUGGAGCUUUACUGUAGCUUGACAUUGGGUCUUGGUACUACAUGUACAGGAUAGGUGGGAGGCUUUGAAACCAGGACGCCAGUUUUGGCGGAGCCAUCCUUGGGAUACCACCCUUGUAGUACUGGGACUCUAACCAUAGGCCAUGAAUCUGGUCUUGGGACACUGUCAGGUGGGCAGUUUGACUGGGGCGGUCGCCUCCCAAAAGG
rnacentral:rRNA from 1 species